ACCAAUUCUGAGGGAUAAAAACAGUUCCUUUAGGUAUAAUGGCAUUGACGAAAGAUUGAUAAGGUUGUGGUAUAUCCUGAUCAUCUGACUUUUUCUAUGUUAGUUGAUCCUGGAAAUGCCUCGCACAUUA